GCUAACGGUUUACCUCAACAAGCUCUCCAUGUCUUUAUCGUGAACAUCGCGCAGGAUGACGAUGGGGUGCUGGCAUGGGUUGGCCUUCAGCAGCCUUCGGAAGUAAGGGCUGCACGCCGACAGCACCACCUGGAUUCGAUCAUCGUCACCAUUAGGAUGCAACUAGUGGAACGUAAUUUGUGGCGCCGGCGCAGGCGAGGGUCACAUCCACGAAGUCCUCCUCGUCCCUCAGCCGACGGAAGGACGACACCAUCGCAGAGUGGAAGUCGUUCCAUCGGAGGGAGUACUGCUGCUCGCCGCCGACCGCGGCGCCGCCUGCACGACCAUCGACGGAAAGCGUAUUGCAAGCCCGCGCGGAUGGGUCUCACUAACCUGUAACCUGACUAUCGGUGCCGCGAAGCACUCGGGAGUUUCAGUUUGAAGAGUAAGGUAGGAUUAUAUUGAUAUAAUAUAAGAUUAUAUAUAUAUAUUGAUAUAACAUUGAAAGUUUCAUCUCAUUUAUUUUACGCUGUCUAUGGCUUAUGGGUUCCGGUAGCCACUUUAACACAGAAGGAUUGUAAUCAUUUAUCCGUGUAAUACAAAAAUAAAAUAGGAACUUUAAUGUGAAAUUUAAAAUUAUUAAAAUACUUACGCAGUUAAUAGCACGGAACUACGGCUGUAUGAUGUUUGAGAAAAUAAAUCGGUGCUCUUUAUAUAUUUUUAUUCGAGUGGUAAUAAAUUAAUAGAACGCGAAAAGGACUGAUUUAUUUGUUUUGUCGUUUUAUUUUACGAAUCGCGAAACACAAUGUUUUAUAACUAAACAGUUACACAUUGAAUGUGAAAAUUCAGAGGUGGCAUAUUGUUUUGUAACGUUUGUAGCUUAAGUAGUGCCUGCUUCUGAGAGACACCGGAACAGCCGUGUGCCAUCGUUAGCCGAUGACGGCGCGGCGCUCCCCCGGAAUGAUAAAUGCGCUGUGCGAGAGAGUGCAUGAUACGUUUUGAGUGUGAAUGCACGGCUCUGAUCCCCUGUCUGCGACCCCUCGCGACGAAACCGCUCGAUAAUUACGAAAUCCACUACGGAGUUAACGUUAUUUAUGUAUUUUUUAUCAAAACUUCAGCGUUUCAACUCUUUAUUUACGUAAAUGGGAACAAUAUACACUACUUAUUUUGCUAAUAGGGAAGAUAAAUACAUUGUAAAGUAGUUAGAAGACGUAUUGAGAGUAUUGACGUAUUAUUUUGUUCUCUAAUCAAAUCGCUUUUUAUUGAUAACAAUAAUUAGAAUACGUUUAAAAAUACUGUAGAUUUUAUAUUACAGUUGGUUUAGAACCACUCGUCUCUCGUUAACAGUAGUAAAUGCUCUUCAUUUAUGAUACCUAUUUAAAAAGUCAAAUUUUGUACGAGUAUAUAUUCAUAUGUUCUAAAAACUAACAUGCUACAUGCACAUGGGAAUAACUAUUUUCAUUAUUAAGAAAAAAAUGCCAAUCAUCCAUUAAGUGACAAUUUACGUGGAGCGAAUGAAGUGGUUUAUCCCUAAUUGUUGUACACUUUAUAUUGCGCGCUUGCUUUGUGUGUGGGUGCGUCUGUGUUUAGUUGUGAUACAUUGCGUGCGGCGUAAUACAAUAAAAUUAAAUCUUUCAAUUUCAUAAUAAUGUUUUGAAUCACCGAAAUCAUCAGUGCUUAUUCUCGUUUUCGUAAAUGGAUCUCUUGCACCCGGAAUGUAGUUCAUGUCAGGAGUGUUGACGAUUAGUAGUCUACCUACCGAAAUUAUUAAUGAUUAGUCCCCAGUUGCACUUGACGUGAGCGUCUCGACGCGUAUAUAUAAUAAGAGCUUAAGUAAAACGAGCGGUUUUUUAAUAAAUCUCUAGAGGGUGACAAAACUUAAUUGAUAUCGGGUCUUUUUUUAUUGCACUUAUAGGCAGACGAGCAUAAGGCCUACCUGAGGGUGAGUGGUUAUCGUCGCCAGUGCACGCCAGCAAUGCCAGAGGCAGAGCCAAGUCGCUGCCUACCGUUAAAACCAUCUUAAAGUAGACGGCGUUAUCGCGUUGCGGACUCCGGUUACCGCUUAAUUCCACUUGAGCUGUGAGCUCGUCUGUCCAUGCACAACACAAUAGGUCUAAGAGAUGUGCUAGAGAAUGAAAAGUAUUUCCUUGGAUAACUGAAGUACGUUAGCAAAUAAUUAUUUUAUUAAGUGUCCAUCUUUGUACUAAUUACUCGGGUAGUCCCGAUUAUAUGUAAUAAAACAAUUUUAUUCAAUAGUCAGUCUUUAAAAUUUUGGCACCAACAAUAAGCAAGAAAACGCAUUGAAUCGAAACGAAAAUAAGCAUCUAAAAAAAGCUUUUCUAAUCUCAAAUAAACGACAGCAACAUCAUUAAACGAAGCGGCGAGUCCACCCUCGGUCCUGGGGUGAUCCUGAGGGAUCGCCGGGGGUGUUGGGAGGGGGAGGUAGGAGGGAGAAGGCCGAAUAUCAACGAACUCAUGUACCGUACGUGUGAACAUGCGUACGUAUAGAAAAUUGUUGGUAAACAUUCCGUCGUGUUGAACUUUUUGCAUAAGUUUGGAAUUUUUUCUAGUUUUUAUAACAAUGCUAAAUUAUUGUAGACUUGUUUAGUUUGCAUUAAGUUAAGAUUAUGUGUACUACAAAGGUGUGAAAUUCAAAAUUGUAAACAUGGCAUUUAUUAUUAGCAAAAUGUCAGACAUGUGAUGAACGAUGUAAAAGAUAUAAAUAUCGAUAUUAAUUGUUCACAAAACUCGUGUGAGAAUCGCGUUUUCAAAAACGUUUAUCUAGAAAAAGUUAAGUGUUAUUAACACACACGAAAAAGGUUAAUUGUGAAAGCAAUAUAAAUGGUUAAAUUACUCAUACAUUCAUACAAGGAUAUGUUCCACUUUCAUCUUGUAACUAUCGCUCUAAAACCUAGUAACACUUGAUUUUUUUUCAAGAUUGUGUUUUAACUGUUCGUUUUUAUAAGCGUAAUUUUUAUUACAAUAAUAAUUUAUAAAUUUAUUUCAGAAAGGCUAGAAGAUAAGUCUCCAGAGUUUGAUACGAGGACUAUAUAAAAAAGCAAGUUUUACACAACUGGGCCGCGAGCGCUUACUUGUCGAACGAAUUACUUAAAGAGAUGCUAUUUUUCAAAGCUGAAUUUAAAGAGUUUUUUUUUUGUUAAACAAAUGAGAUGAAAAAAAAUCACAGAGCACGAUAUCAUGCAAAUGUUUUCUGUACGGCUCUUGUUUCGGUGAAAGACCUUUUAAAUAUUUUAACAAAUGUCAGGGUGUGUUGGGAUGCGCGGAUAUUAUGUACAUUUUUAGUAUGUUUUGUUUCUUUUUUUUUUAAUACGUAUGUUUUUAUGAGUACGUAUAUGAAACUUUCUUUACGCCAGUUAAAGAGUGUGUUUGUUAGGGAACAAAUAAAUGUUAGCAAGUAAAGUUCUUGUAUGAAAUCGUUUUGAUGUUUAUAAGAAUUAAGCAGCGUUGGACUAAAACAAAUUAUAGUUUGAAGUGGUUUAGUUUUUACGGGUGUUAGUGUCUAAUUUUGUCACGCACCUGUGACAGAGAAGCUGAGAAGUACGCGUUUGAGAUGGUAUAGACAUGUGAUGAGACGAAAUGAAAAUGAGGUUGGUAAGAGAGCGUCAACUAUGAAUGUGAAAGGAUAUAGAGGAAGAGGUAGACUAAGAAAUGGUAUAUGAUGGAGGAGUAUAGAAGGAGAAAACAUGUUGCGCCGGCCCUAAGUGACUGGGAGAAGGGCAGGAGAAUGAUGAUGAGUGUCUAAUUGUGUCUAGUGAGGUCGGUACUCACCGGUCUCGGUCGCCAUGGCCGGUUGUUCGGAGGGCGGCACUGUGGCGGGGCGUGCGCGCGCGCUAAACGACUCCAAUCCUGCGCAUUCCACGCGCGCUCCCAGCGUCGCCGCCACUUUAACGCCUUUUCACUUCUAUCCCCGUAACGUUUAAUCUUUGGCCCGCGAAUGUUCGCGUUCCAAAUUUUUAUUUCAUAUAAAAAAUAUUGUAUGUCAAAUCUUGGAAGUUUUUUUUGUUUUAAAGCUUUCGUUUGUUAUUUUGUUUUGCGCGUUUGUUUUGUUUUUCUGAAAGAGAUUUCUUCGAGUUAAUUAUUG